UCCUACGGGAGGCAGCAGUGGGGAAUAUUGGACAAUGGACCACAAGUCUGAUCCAGCAAUUCUGUGUGCACGAUGACGUUUUUCGGAAUGUAAAGUGCUUUCAGUCGGGAAGAAGUCAGUGACGGUACCGACAGAAGAAGCGACGGCUAAAUACGUGCCAGCAGCCGCGGUAAUACGUAUGUCGCAAGCGUUAUCCGGAUUUAUUGGGCGUAAAGCGCGUCUAGGCGGCAAGGAAAGUCUGAUGUGAAAAUGCGGAGCUCAACUCCGUAUGGCGUUGGAAACUGCCUUACUAGAGUACUGGAGAGGUAGGCGGAACUACAAGUGUAGAGGUGAAAUUCGUAGAUAUUUGUAGGAAUGCCGAUGGGGAAGCCAGCCUACUGGACAGAUACUGACGCUAAAGCGCGAAAGCGUGGGUAGCAAACAGGAUUAGAUACCCUGGUAGUCA
rnacentral:rRNA from 1 species